GAUUGUUUGGCCCUUAUUAUCAGCAACUUUCAUCCUGGCCAGUGAGUAAAUGGAAAGCAGUGUAUAAACAUGCUAUGAAUAAUGAGGAGCAGCAAUGAGUAAAAAAUGCUAAGUAUUGUUAAAAAGAUAGAAAUUCCUUUUCAAGCACAUCUGUAGAAAGAUUGUUACACUCUUCAGGUUUGAUAGGUUCAGCCUUGUGCAGUGGUAUGCCAGCAAAUUGCAGCGUUCUUGUCGUUGUUGCCCUUUACAUAGGCAUAACUUUGAUCAGGAGAGAAAAUGAAGGAGAUUUAUUUUGUUCAAAAAAUUGGGAGUUUGAAAUUUUCCAUUCUGAACAAAGUGAAAAGAAAAGCAGCUUACUUAGAAAAGAGAACAUAGAUAACACUACAAAUGUCUCCAGCUGAGAACAAUAUCCUGGAAUAUACUCUGGAGAAAAAUCAGCUGAGUGUAAUAGAAACACAAAUAAGUCAGCCUGUGCUUCUCAUAGCUCAGACAACUCCUUAGGCAACCAAAUUUCUGAGUAUUUUUCUCUCAAGAGUAGUGAUCCUGUUUUAUGUAUUUAGUUAAGUAUUCAUCAGUCUGAAAGCAGAGGUAAGAGAUCCUCUACAUCUCAGAGGUACGUGUUGGAUCUUCACUGACUAAAGCACACAGAGCAGGGAAUGGAAGAUUUUUCCCAUGAGCUCAGAGGGUUAUCAUCAGUGACGCUGAGUCCAGUUGGAGGACUGUGCGGGGCACUGAGGGUGAGAGAACGUAUGACAGCAAAACACAGAAAGAGAAGAAGACACAGCAUGUCAUUUUACAGUGGGAUUGUUAGUUGUAAGGGUUACUGGCCUCUCAUUUUGCGGAGAGCACAAGAACAGAGUUAUGGCAAGAGGCACAUUACCAGGUCUCUGAUGAGAUCAGCCAUGGACAUGGUGGGUGACCAGGAAGUCCCUUGAUCACAGAACACAUGGGUGAGUACCACACUUGGAGAGAUUCUGCUUCUUUUUUUCUGGUUCAGAGGUGUGAAGCUGGAGCAAAAUUUCCAGUUAGUGUAUUAGAUGGACUUUUCAUCCAGAGGGGUGAAACAUGGUGGUGUCACCUCUCUGGUUGCCUACAUACCAACAAAGCUGUAGUACGCGUGACUUCAGGAUUCUGUGCUUUGUACAGUCUGGAACAUCUCUACAGCUGGAAAAGCAGAAUGUGCUUGGUUUACCAGGCACACUUAAUAUGAUUUCACCUUGGGAUCUGUCAGUUUCUUUGUUCUUUUUUUUUUCUUCCAUUUAAUGGAAAGUGAGGCCUUGAGUGAAUAAUAGGAUCUUGCAAGGUGGUUAGUUGGGUGUUUAGAGCACAAUAGCCAAAGUAGGUUGCAGGAUUAGGCUCUGCUCUGUGCUGCAGCCUGACCUGGCCAUGAGCAACCAUCUUCAGUGCUGAGAUGUUCAUAGAUAAUGAAUUAAAAAGCAUGCAAGACAUUCUCUGGCCAGUUGCCUCUGAGGAGCUUGUCAGUCAACUUGUUGCUAUUUUCCAAAGUGAAAUAAGGUCCCCAUCAAAGAGUGCUUCCAAAUACCCUGCUCCAUUAGACAUUGCUUGAUGAUGCUCAGGGAACACACUCACAUACACUACUUCAAGAGCUGUUUGAAAGGAGAUGGAGUGCUAACUUCAAUGAACAAUUUACUGAAGUAAAACUUGUGGGAGAUCAUGUAUUUUUAUUUAUAUCUAAUAAGCCUGCUACACUCAGUCCUGCUAUUUGGCCAGCACAUAGAGGAAUACUUGUUCUACCAAAAUAUUAAAAUGGUUUUCUUCCAGUAUUUUUGUUGAGGAAUGCACAGCAGAAUACCCAGAAUUUGCAUGAAAUUUAGUAUUUGUAGAGACUUUGGUAGUGACUCAGACAACCCUGCCUAGUUCCUUCUUCCAUUCUUUCAUACUGCCUGUCCUACUAAAUUAAUUAAAAAAAUUGGGGAGCCCUCCAGUGGCUAAAAUUAUAGAGCCUAAAUUCACCAGUGUCUUAAAGAGGUACCUAAAUAUUCCAUGGUGCCUUAAGACUUUGCAGAAGUUCUUAAAAUUUAAAAGCAGAAUUUUGCAAAUUGUUACCUUUUUACAGAAGAGACAAUUUUUAAAAGGUCAUUCCAGCUACGUACACAUGGAGGCACUUGAGUGUUUUCAGAAAACACCCCUAAAUGCAGCAUAAAAAUUAUCAACUUCUAGUUCUUAGACAUCUACUUUCAUACUUAAACUCUGGGAAUUCUAGCAUGUUCUGCAUUUGGUAAUAAAAUUGUUCUCUCACUCUACA
rnacentral:lncRNA from 1 species